rnacentral:rRNA from 1 species
GAUGAACGCUGGCGGCGUGCCUAAUACAUGCAAGUCGAGCGAACAGACGAGGAGCUUGCUCCUCUGACGUUAGCGGCGGACGGGUGAGUAACACGUGGAUAACCUACCUAUAAGACUGGGAUAACUUCGGGAAACCGGAGCUAAUACCGGAUAAUAUAUUGAACCGCAUGGUUCAAUAGUGAAAGACGGUUUUGCUGUCACUUAUAGAUGGAUCCGCGCCGCAUUAGCUAGUUGGUAAGGUAACGGCUUACCAAGGCAACGAUGCGUAGCCGACCUGAGAGGGUGAUCGGCCACACUGGAACUUGGACACGGUCCAGACUCCUACGGGAGGCAGCAGUAGGGAAUCUUCCGCAAUGGGCGAAAGCCUGACGGAGCAACGCCGCGUGAGUGAUGAAGGUCUUCGGAUCGUAAAACUCUGUUAUUAGGGAAGAACAAAUGUGUAAGUAACUAUGCACGUCUUGACGGUACCUAAUCAGAAAGCCACGGCUAACUACGUG